CGGUUGGUCUCCGUGAAGACAUCUCAGCCUUUGUUCCUCUGUCCACACACAGCAGGACACUCCCAUCUGAGGCAGUUUCAUCAGUCUGGAUAGGGGUUUUGUCUUGUAAUCCCAGUUUCUCCAUAAUCAACUCAAUCCUGGAUGUGAUGCCUGCCACAGAGCUUUCAAGGUGGAGAACCUGCCUGGUCAGUCUUUCAUGGAAAGAGAGAGAAUUUGGUUCCCAUCACGAUCAAACCGUGAGAAAGCUGCUGAAAUUUCAUGAUCAGCAUGUCCCAUCCUACAAGAUCAUCAGAGUGGUGAAGGAUAUUUUUUAUGCUUUGUGUUGGAAUAAGUUGGUAUAACAAUCUUUUUGAUAUUUUUGUCACU